rnacentral:rRNA from 1 species
UACGUAGGGUGCGAGCGUUGUCCGGAAUUAUUGGGCGUCAAGGGCUCGUAGGCGGUUUGUCGCGUCGGGAGUGAAAACUCAGGGCUUAACCCUGAGCCUGCUUCCGAUACGGGCAGACUAGAGGUAUGCAGGGGAGAACGGAAUUCCUGGUGUAGCGGUGAAAUGCGCAGAUAUCAGGAGGAACACCGGUGGCGAGGGCGGUUCUCUGGGCAUUACCUGACGCUGAGGAGCGAAAGUGUGGGGAGCGAACAGG